UAGCAUAUGGUGUAAACAUGAAAGUUGUAGAUAAUUGUGUUAGCUUUCCAGUGGCGUCGGUUUGACUUUAAAAUGAUUUUUGGUUUAGGAGUUAUGAUGAAAAUACUCCAAGUAGGUCUUAGUGAAAUUUUAUGAAAAUUCAGCAUAACUGUUUCUAAGUUAAUCCAAAACUUAUGGAAUAAUUCCAAACCUCAAAACUAGAAGUACUAGGAGUUUAAUUAAGGGGUUUAACAGUAUUUAACAUGUGUUGUGAUGGAUCUAAUUUGGUCGGAC
rnacentral:lncRNA from 1 species